CACGGGUGAGUAACACGUAUCCAACCUGCCGUCUACUCUUGGACAGCCUUCUGAAAGGAAGAUUAAUACAAGAUGGCAUCAUGAGUCCGCAUGUUCACAUGAUUAAAGGUAUUCCGGUAGACGAUGGGGAUGCGUUCCAUUAGAUAGUAGGCGGGGUAACGGGCCCACCUAGUCUUCGAUGGAUAGGGGUUCUGAGAGGAAGGUCCCCCACAUUGGAACUGAGACACGGUCCAAACUCCUACGGGAGGCAGCAUG
rnacentral:rRNA from 1 species